GUGGGGAAUUUUGGACAAUGGGCGAAAGCCUGAUCCAGCCAUGCCGCGUGCAGGAUGAAGGCCUUCGGGUUGUAAACUGCUUUUGUACGGAACGAAACGGUCCGGGUUAAUACCCUGGGCUAAUGACGGUACCGUAAGAAUAAGCACCGGCUAACUACGUGCCAGCAGCCGCGGUAAUACGUAGGGUGCAAGCGUUAAUCGGAAUUACUGGGCGUAAAGCGUGCGCCGGCGGUUUUGUAAGACAGGCGUGAAAUCCCCGGGCUCAACCUGGGAAUUGCGCUUGUGACUGCAAGGCUGGAGUGUGGCAGAGGGGGAUGGAAUUCCGCGUGUAGCAGUGAAAUGCGUAGAUAUGCGGAGGAACACCGAUGGCGAAGGCAAUCCCCUGGGCCUGCACUGACGCUCAUGCACGAAAGCGUGGGGAGCAAACAGGAUUAGAUACCCCUGUAGUCC
rnacentral:rRNA from 1 species